CGUUUGGCGGCAGCCUACACAUGCAAGUCGAGCGGUAGCACAGAGAGCUUGCUCUCGGGUGACGAGCGGCGGACGGGUGAGUAAUGUCUGGGAAACUGCCUGAUGGAGGGGGAUAACUACUGGAAACGGUAGCUAAUACCGCAUAACGUCGCAAGACCAAAGUGGGGGACCUUCGGGCCUCAUGCCAUCAGAUGUGCCCAGAUGGGAUUAGCUAGUAGGUGGGGUAACGGCUCACCUAGGCGACGAUCCCUAGCUGGUCUGAGAGGAUGACCAGCCACACUGGAACUGAGACACGGUCCAGACUCCUACGGGAGGCAGCAGUGGGGAAUAUUGCACAAUGGGCGCAAGCCUGAUGCAGCCAUGCCGCGUGUGUGAAGAAGGCCUUCGGGUUGUAAAGCACUUUCAGCGGGGAGGAAGGCGGUGAGGUUAAUAACCUCAUCGAUUGACGUUACCCGCAGAAGAAGCACCGGCUAACUCCGUGCCAGCAGCCGCGGUAAUACGGAGGGUGCAAGCGUUAAUCGGAAUUACUGGGCGUAAAGCGCACGCAGGCGGUCUGUCAAGUCGGAUGUGAAAUCCCCGGGCUCAACCUGGGAACUGCAUUCGAAACUGGCAGGCUAGAGUCUUGUAGAGGGGGGUAGAAUUCCAGUGUAGCGGUGAAAUGCGUAGAGAUCUGGAGGAAUACCGGUGGCGAAAGGCGGCCCCCUGGACAAAGACUGACGCUCAGUGCGAAAGCGUGGGGAGCAAACAGGAUUAGAUACCCUGGUAGUCCACGCCGUAACGAUGUCGAUUUGGAGGUUGUGCCCUUGGAGGCGGUGGCUUCCGGAGCUAACGCGUUAAAUCGACCGCCUGGGGGAGUACGGCCGCAGGUUAAAACUCAAAUGAAUUGACGGGGCCCGCACAGCGGUGGAGCAUGUGUUAUCGAUGCCACGCGAGACUACUGUCUGACAUCACAGACUUCCAGAGAUGAUGUGCUCCGAACUGUGAGACAGUGCUGCAUGCUGUCGUCAGCUCUGUUGUGACUGUAGCUAGUCAGCACGAGGCAUCUAUCUGUGCACGUCGCUGACGAGAUGCAGUUAACGGUUCGGCCGGGAACUCAAAGGAGACUGCCAGUGAUAAACUGGAGGAAGGUGGGGAUGACGUCAAGUCAUCAUGGCCCUUACGACCAGGGCUACACACGUGCUACAAUGGCAUAUACAAAGAGAAGCGACCUCGCGAGAGCAAGCGGACCUCAUAAAGUAUGUCGUAGUCCGGAUUGGAGUCUGCAACUCGACUCCAUGAAGUCGGAAUCGCUAGUAAUCGUAGAUCAGAAUGCUACGGUGAAUACGUUCCCGGGCCUUGUACACACCGCCCGUCACACCAUGGGAGUGGGUUGCAAAAGAAGUAGGUAGCUUAACCUUCGGGAGGGCGCUUACCACUUUGUUUUAAGG
rnacentral:rRNA from 1 species